CUGUCCUUUAGUUCAGGGUGAGGUCCCUUCUGUCUCCCACGGGAUUCCCCUGGCAUAGUAGCACGGACUCCUGGACCCACAGUGCAUAGU